ACAUGAGCAUAAAUAAAGAUUAUUUUCUAAUAGAUUUGUUGGAUCUGCGGCUCCCGCUGAGUUUUGGUUUUUAAUAAAUUGGACCGAACGGUUCUUUGGGGUUAAAGGCUGCAGAACCCAAUAGACUACAGAAAUGGGUUUCUCAGCACGCGGUCUGGCUGGGCCGAAUUGUGACGUCACCAUCUGAGGAUUCUGAGCUUCGAGGAGAUUGGUAAUCAUCCCGGAAGAGCGGCUGGUCACGUGCUCGCCCCACCUGCCGCGGACAGCUCAUUAAGGUAAUUGGGUCCAGGUGCGGCAGACCGGUUCGGUUCGGUUCUGCGGGAUGGAGUUCUGCGGAGCUGCAGGAUUCCUUGCUGUUCGGCUUAAGGAAGUGACCGUCAAUCACAAAGACAAGAACAAAGAGGAAGAUCUUCAACACUUUGGAUGUGAAGCUGAAACCAGGAUGUUCUGGAGGUCCAGUGAUCCGGGACAGAAUCAGUCAGAACUGCAGAGGAAAAACUGAGCUGACGUUCAUGGAUGCUCCGGAGGUUUCUGUGAUGAUCUGUGAUCACAUGUGGAAGUGGAAUCUGCUCUGAGACGGACGUGAAGAUCUGUGGAGACUAAAGAUCACAGGGCGGUUGAUGUGGAUCUAAACUUUCACAGGAACAACAGUAAAAACCUUCUUAAAAAAGCUGUAAAUGAGUCAAAGCUUUGAGUUUUGGGAACUGAGACCCACACAGGAAUUCAGACGUCACUGUCAGCAGAUCAACGUGGAACCGGAUCAAUGGACCGGACCGUCAGUCUGAGGAGCAAUCUGGACUGAAGGUUCUGUAGUGACUGAACUGGACGUCGGACCAUGAAGGGUUAACCACAUCAUGACGCCUGAUGCUGAUGUGUUCAACCAAAAGUUCUAAACCUGCAGUUUGUUCUUCUUGGGUGAUUCACUGACGGGAAGUUUGUCAAAGUCCAAAGAAUUUUCCUGAACGGGACAGAAAUCCCGUUUCUAUCCUGAAGGAUCUGAAGCAGAAACUGGACUGAAGGUUCAUGUGCAGAAACCUGAACUGAUCAAACUUCAACGCAGGAAACAAGUUUGCAGCAAAUGUUGAUGCAUUGAGGAUUUUGGUAAAACCAGAACUUGGAUUUUCCUUCCAGGGAAUUUUGUAUGGAAAUCUUUUGUUCUGAACACGGAUGAACAUGAGAGCGCAGACGCUAAAAUACGGGCGGAGCCUGAAGGAAAACGUCCGUCUGGAUCAGCAGAAAUGGUUUCUUAGUCAUUUUUAUAAGUGAAAGCGGUUCUGGACAAACCCAACCACAGACGACCCGGUUCAGAGAACGGAGGGAUUCAAUCUGCAGGUGAGUUUCUGCUCUCAGCCUCACCUGAGACGAUUGUAACAGGUGUUGUGUCCAGACAAAUGAAAGGAAAUAUUGAAUUGAACGGGUUAAAACCACAUGGGGUGUUGGGACUCAUUAUGGGAUGUUUGGUAAAGUCAUUUAAACCCAAAGGUGAUUUCUGUUUCAGGUUAAAGCUCUGGAGGAACCUCGAAGUCUUCAUGAUGUUUAUUCUGUCCAGACUUGAUGGUUUUUAUCAUAAAGUAUAUUUUGAUUUCACCUCCAAACAGGUUUUAAAUGGGACAUUAAUGGACAUGAUUCAUGUUGAAUUUUGCCUCGUUUUUCACUAAACCUUAACUCGGUUUGACUGAACCUGGUGACCUGAACCGUCUCACCUUUUCUCCGGGUUGUUCUUUCAGAAUCUCUGAUUUUUGGGAUUCUCACAAACAUCUGCAGGUUUCUGUCUACCUAAACCACCGUUGUGGUGAACAUUGGUUUGAUGGUGAAUUCCUCCUCGGCCAACAUGUGGUGAUGCAUCAUUUAAUGAACUCUGAUUGGCCGCCGCCUCGCUGACUUGAGUUCAGACGGGUCGGGAAGGUCCGGGUUCUGUUUAGAACCUCCUUCUGAACGGAGGUUUGUUCACAGGCGGAACUGUUAUUUUUUUGUUUUGUUUAAAAUGUUUUUUUAUUUUUGUGCAUCAAACCAUUUAAACCAAAAACUCCACAAUAAUGAGAUGUAAAUGUUGGUAUCGAUGUCUUCACAGGUGCAUGUCUUACCUGUCUGCAGGUGUGUUGAGGUGGACAGUUUGUCUAUUUACUAACAUUAAUCCUUAAUGACAAAAUGCUGCAACAAACUUGUGAAAGUGAAACAUUCUAAAAUUCUUUCAGGUUCAAAUAUUUCUUUGUCCAGAAGUCAUGAUGAGGUUCGUUGAUGCUCCUCAUUUAAACCUCUAGUGGACGGUGAGCGAUGAGGGUCAUUCACAAACUCGAUCAUGAAGGUUUUAUCUUAAACAGGUUUUCUCCUCAGACUGGAUCCACAGUCUGCUGCUCGUUCUAAACUCCUGUUGGGUUCUUCAUGAUCAGACAUUUCGGAUCCUUGUU